CAGCCUUUUGAGAGACUGCUUGAACGUUGGAGAAACAGUACAUCAAUUUCAUCAAAAGAAUUUCGUCGUGGUGAUUUGUCUGGUAUUUAUCACAGAGCAAGAUGAAAGCCGAUCGAGUCUGGCCAGCAGAGCAAGUUUUCUCAAUUAAAGAACUUGAAAUUUGGAAUCAUUAAAAAUGAUAAAACUUGAGUAUUCAAAUCUGAAAGAGAGUUUUAUCAAACAUGUCUGAGAACUACUUGCAAACAAAUGCAUUGAGCUGCACUUGAGACUAUUUUAGACUAUAUCCAAUGCCAUAAGACUAUUUUAGCCUUUACCCAAUGGCAUGAGACUAUUUUAGCCUUUACCCAAUGCCAUGAGACUAUUUUAGACUAUACCCAAUGGCAUACAUACUUUAAUCUUUUAUGCAAGAACAAAUGGGUCCACCAAUCAUGUUCUUGUGAUUUUAAUAAACGGAAACAGAUUCUUGAUCGAACCAUUGUUUAGAAACCAAAUCAAUUUUUUUUGUAUUCAUCAUUACGAUACAAUACAAUUUUUAUAUUUGAUUCCAUAUUUAUGAAAAAUUAAGAAUUUAUAGUUCAUGUCUUAUGUAAAAUUGAAUAGUGGAUAUAUUUAUUAUACCAAAACAUCGUUUAAAUUUGUAUUUCAUCACUCCAUUCCAUUCUAAACAUACAUUCCUGUGAUUACUUGGCAUGAAGGAGGCGGCGUCAUUCAACAUAUUUGUCAUAUAACUUACUUAUACAAAUACUUUUCUUAUUAAUAAGGAAUGAGCAUUCAAAAUAUAAUGCUAUGAUACCUCAUUAUUGUCUUAUUUACUCAUUUUUAAACCAUUUGUAUUCAGUACGAACUAAAUAAAGUCUAUUCAUGGUUGUCAAUGCUACCUAACACACAAAUCUAAUCUUACCGGUACUUUAUCAACACUGCUUGUUCUUUGUUUGGAAUCGUCUUCGGAAAACAAACCAGGCCGGCAUGGUUUGUCUCUUCUGUCGAUGAAUCUCCAUCAAAAAACAAAACAAAAAACAAAUAUACUACACUCACAUACACAGGGGUUGGGAGGGGGGGAUGGGGUUCUGGUGAUUGGUGGGCCCAUGAAGGGAGGGAAUACACAGCAUGGCAAUCAUAGUAGCAAUAUUUGUUCGGCCAAUACUAAAAUAUAAGACCACAGAAUCUGGCAAUUAGUGGUCAAAAUUAUCUUUUAUUAUUUCAAAAUUUAUGACAGUAAACAUGACAAUACGGUUGAAUGUCGGUACCUUGUUUAAAAUCAGAAUUUGAAUGACAAUCAAAGCAUUUUACAAAUCCGAGUAUGUAGGGUGUUUGACAAGCCUCUUUUUGGUGGCGUCAUUCUUACUAGCCUUAAUUUCUUAUAGUUUAAGAAAAUAAGACAUAUUCAGAUAUUCCAAAAUUAUUCUUUAUAUUUUCCAUAUCCAAUAUUUAUUUUGAUUCUCAAUAAAUAUAUCCACAAUGUUUUGAUUUUUGUUGAUUAAUGUUUAUUACUUAUGGUAUUUUGUUAAGAAUAUUGGAUUCCUCUGAAAAUAGUUCUAUUUUUACCUGAUAAUAGUGUUGUGUGUUACAGCUUCAAAUAUACCGACCCGUUGGUGCAUUUUAUUUUUCGUGGAAUAUGCUAAUUUUUAGAGUACAAUCAUACUAAUUAUGUUUUAUGUAUACUUUUGGUGUUGCAUAUUUAAAAAUUCCGUAAUAGCCUCUAUCUAUAUAUGGCAUAUUUAAAAAUUCCGUUAUAGCCUCCAUCUAUAUAUUGCAUAUUUAAAAAUUCCGUAAUAGCCCCUGUCUAUAUGUUGCUAUCUCAUUGUCAUAACUAUUAUUUUCUAUUCUAUAUUUCUUGAGAUAUUUUCAACAGGAAACAGGACAUCAAGAGAACGACAAAAGAGCAAAAAGUUAACAGGGCAUGCCAUGGCUUUUUUAUUCAUUUUAUUUGUUUUGUUUUAUUUAUUUUUAAAUAUUUUUUUUAAUUUUUGAUAGAUUUACCCAUUAGGACAUUCCCACUAUUCCCACUAGGCCUAGUUAUUAUUAUUACUAUUAUUGCAUCCCAGUUUUCCAGAUGCACAACUAUAAAGAUUAGGAAAUGAAGAACAGAAAGAACCAAGGCAAAUA